GUACCCAUAUGUUUGUCUCAUAUAUUACUUCAUGCAAUUCUAACUUUAAACACCUAAACCUUUAAUUUGCUGAUGGGUGAUUAAAUCAGUUAGAAAUAAUUUGAUACUAUCUACUACAUGGAUAACCGAGGGAAUUCAAUAGCUAAUACUUGGAUAAAUUCCCAACUUCGGAAGGGAUGUAUUGAUUAAAUUAAAAACCAUUGGCCUUCGGGGCUCACUGGUGAUUCAUAAUAACUUCUCGAAAAUUUCGGCCUUGCGCCGGCGAUGGUUCAUUCAAAUUUCUGCCCUAUCAACUUUCGACGGCUGGGUCUUGGCCAGCCGUGGUUACAACGGGUAACCUAUUCUAUAGGGCUUGGCCCCGGAAAACGAGCCUGAGAAAGCUUUACUACCUCCAAGGAAGGCACCAGGCACGCCCAUUACCCAAUCCCGACUCGGGGAGGGGUGACAAUAUCCCCUGAUACAAGGGUCUUUUGGGACUUGUGAUUGCAAUGAGUACAAUUUAAAUCCCUUACCCAGGAACAAUUGAAGGGCUUUUCAGGUGCCACAACUUUAAUAUAAUUCUAGCUCCAAUGGAAUAUAUUAAACUGGUGGCACCUAACUUGCUCUCAAUUGAACCUUGGGUCUGGCUGGCCGGUCUGCCUCACCGCAUUACUGGUCCGGCCGAGCCUUGCACUCUGAUGAACCGCAUGUCCUUCACUGAGUGUGUCUUGGAACCAUUGCUUUUCCUGUGACAUCAUUGGAGGGAUCAAAGCAUGCACAUGCUCCUAUACCGGGGCAUGGAAUAAUACCAUCCGGACGUCGCGGUUCUAUCUUGUGGGUUUCUACCCACCCCCGUAAAGAUGAUAGGGACAGACUUGGGCGACACUACUCCAGCGCCAGAGGUGAAAUUUUGGAACUAUUGAUGACUCACUACUGCGACCCAUUUGCCUUGGAUGUUAUCUUAUCAGCACCCUUCUAAGGGAGGAAUACAAU
rnacentral:rRNA from 1 species